rnacentral:tRNA from 1 species
GGCCAGUUAGCUCAGUGGUUUGAGAAGCGGUGCUGACAACACCGAGGUUGCGUGUUCGAUUCCCGCUCGGUCCC